AAAGAGCCCAAACCAAGAAGCUUGCUUCUUGGGGUUGUAGGACACUCUAUACGGAGUUACAAAAGAAAGUUAUAAAUGAAGCGGUCUGGAAAGGCCCGCCAAAGACGGUAACAGCCCGGUAGUUGAAAUAGCUUUCCCUCCAGAGUGGAUCCUGAGUACGGCGGAACACGUGAAAUUCCGUCGGAAUCCGGGAGGACCAUCUCCCAAGGCUAAAUACUCCCUAGUGACCGAUAGUGAACCAGUACCGUGAGGGAAAGGUGAAAAGCACCCCGGAAGGGGAGUGAAACAGUUCCUGAAACCGUGUGCCUACAAGUAGUUAGAGCCCGUUAAUGGGUGAUAGCGUGCCUUUUGUAGAAUGAACCGGCGAGUUACGAUUUGUUGCAAGGUUAAGCGGAAAAAGCGGAGCCGUAGCGAAAGCGAGUCUGAAUAGGGCGCAUAAGUAACAGGUCGUAGACCCGAAACCAGGUGAUCUACCCAUGUCCAGGAUGAAGGUAAGGUAAUACUUACUGGAGGUCCGAACCCACGCACGUUGAAAAGUGCGGGGAUGAGGUGUGGGUAGCGGAGAAAUUCCAAUCGAACUUGGAGAUAGCUGGUUCUCUCCGAAAUAGCUUUAGGGC
rnacentral:rRNA from 1 species